GGGUUGUGAGGUUAAGCGACUAAGCGUACACGGUGGAUGCCCUGGCAGUCAGAGGCGAUGAAGGACGUGCUAAUCUGCGAUAAGCGUCGGUAAGGUGAUAUGAACCGUUAUAACCGGCGAUUUCCGAAUGGGGAAACCCAGUGUGAUUCGUCACACUAUCAUUAACUGAAUCCAUAGGUUAAUGAGGCGAACCGGGGGAACUGAAACAUCUAAGUACCCCGAGGAAAAGAAAUCAACCGAGAUUCCCCCAGUAGCGGCGAGCGAACGGGGAGCAGCCCAGAGCCUGAAUCAGUGUGUGUGUUAGUGGAAGCGUCUGGAAAGGCGCGCGAUACAGGGUGACAGCCCCGUACACAAAAAUGCACAUACUGUGAGCUCGAUGAGUAGGGCGGGACACGUGGUAUCCUGUCUGAAUAUGGGGGGACCAUCCUCCAAGGCUAAAUACUCCUGACUGACCGAUAGUGAACCAGUACCGUGAGGGAAAGGCGAAAAGAACCCCGGCGAGGGGAGUGAAAAAGAACCUGAAACCGUGUACGUACAAGCAGUGGGAGCCUCUUUUAUGGGGUGACUGCGUACCUUUUGUAUAAUGGGUCAGCGACUUAUAUUCUGUAGCAAGGUUAACCGAAUAGGGGAGCCGAAGGGAAACCGAGUCUUAACCGGGCGUUAAGUUGCAGGGUAUAGACCCGAAACCCGGUGAUCUAGCCAUGGGCAGGUUGAAGGUUGGGUAACACUAACUGGAGGACCGAACCGACUAAUGUUGAAAAAUUAGCGGAUGACUUGUGGCUGGGGGUGAAAGGCCAAUCAAACCGGGAGAUAGCUGGUUCUCCCCGAAAGCUAUUUAGGUAGCGCCUCGUGAAUUCAUCUCCGGGGGUAGAGCACUGUUUCGGCAAGGGGGUCAUCCCGACUUACCAACCCGAUGCAAACUGCGAAUACCGGAGAAUGUUAUCACGGGAGACACACGGCGGGUGCUAACGUCCGUCGUGAAGAGGGAAACAACCCAGACCGCCAGCUAAGGUCCCAAAGUCAUGGUUAAGUGGGAAACGAUGUGGGAAGGCCCAGACAGCCAGGAUGUUGGCUUAGAAGCAGCCAUCAUUUAAAGAAAGCGUAAUAGCUCACUGGUCGAGUCGGCCUGCGCGGAAGAUGUAACGGGGCUAAACCAUGCACCGAAGCUGCGGCAGCGACACUGUGUGUUGUUGGGUAGGGGAGCGUUCUGUAAGCCUGUGAAGGUGUACUGUGAGGCAUGCUGGAGGUAUCAGAAGUGCGAAUGCUGACAUAAGUAACGAUAAAGCGGGUGAAAAGCCCGCUCGCCGGAAGACCAAGGGUUCCUGUCCAACGUUAAUCGGGGCAGGGUGAGUCGACCCCUAAGGCGAGGCCGAAAGGCGUAGUCGAUGGGAAACAGGUUAAUAUUCCUGUACUUGGUGUUACUGCGAAGGGGGGACGGAGAAGGCUAUGUUGGCCGGGCGACGGUUGUCCCGGUUUAAGCGUGUAGGCUGGUUUUCCAGGCAAAUCCGGAAAAUCAAGGCUGAGGCGUGAUGACGAGGCACUACGGUGCUGAAGCAACAAAUGCCCUGCUUCCAGGAAAAGCCUCUAAGCAUCAGGUAACAUCAAAUCGUACCCCAAACCGACACAGGUGGUCAGGUAGAGAAUACCAAGGCGCUUGAGAGAACUCGGGUGAAGGAACUAGGCAAAAUGGUGCCGUAACUUCGGGAGAAGGCACGCUGAUAUGUAGGUGAAGUCCCUCGCGGAUGGAGCUGAAAUCAGUCGAAGAUACCAGCUGGCUGCAACUGUUUAUUAAAAACACAGCACUGUGCAAACACGAAAGUGGACGUAUACGGUGUGACGCCUGCCCGGUGCCGGAAGGUUAAUUGAUGGGGUCAGCGCAAGCGAAGCUCUUGAUCGAAGCCCCGGUAAACGGCGGCCGUAACUAUAACGGUCCUAAGGUAGCGAAAUUCCUUGUCGGGUAAGUUCCGACCUGCACGAAUGGCGUAAUGAUGGCCAGGCUGUCUCCACCCGAGACUCAGUGAAAUUGAACUCGCUGUGAAGAUGCAGUGUACCCGCGGCAAGACGGAAAGACCCCGUGAACCUUUACUAUAGCUUGACACUGAACAUUGAGCCUUGAUGUGUAGGAUAGGUGGGAGGCUUUGAAGUGUGGACGCCAGUCUGCAUGGAGCCGACCUUGAAAUACCACCCUUUAAUGUUUGAUGUUCUAACGUGGACCCGUGAUCCGGGUUGCGGACAGUGUCUGGUGGGUAGUUUGACUGGGGCGGUCUCCUCCUAAAGAGUAACGGAGGAGCACGAAGGUUGGCUAAUCCUGGUCGGACAUCAGGAGGUUAGUGCAAUGGCAUAAGCCAGCUUGACUGCGAGCGUGACGGCGCGAGCAGGUGCGAAAGCAGGUCAUAGUGAUCCGGUGGUUCUGAAUGGAAGGGCCAUCGCUCAACGGAUAAAAGGUACUCCGGGGAUAACAGGCUGAUACCGCCCAAGAGUUCAUAUCGACGGCGGUGUUUGGCACCUCGAUGUCGGCUCAUCACAUCCUGGGGCUGAAGUAGGUCCCAAGGGUAUGGCUGUUCGCCAUUUAAAGUGGUACGCGAGCUGGGUUUAGAACGUCGUGAGACAGUUCGGUCCCUAUCUGCCGUGGGCGCUGGAGAACUGAGGGGGGCUGCUCCUAGUACGAGAGGACCGGAGUGGACGCAUCACUGGUGUUCGGGUUGUCAUGCCAAUGGCACUGCCCGGUAGCUAAAUGCGGAAGAGAUAAGUGCUGAAAGCAUCUAAGCACGAAACUUGCCCCGAGAUGAGUUCUCCCUGACCCUUUAAGGGUCCUGAAGGAACGUUGAAGACGACGACGUUGAUAGGCCGGGUGUGUAAGCGCAGCGAUGCGUUGAGCUAACCGGUACUAAUGAACCGUGAGGCUUAACCUUACAACGCCGAAGGUGUUU
rnacentral:rRNA from 1 species